rnacentral:tRNA from 1 species
GCCCUCGUCGUCUAGUCAGGUCCAGGACGCCUGGUUCUCAUCCAGGUAACUGGGGUUCAAAUCCCCACGAGGGCG